GAUGAACGCUGGCGGCGUGCCUAAUACAUGCAAGUCGAGCGAAUGGAUUAAGAGCUUGCUCUUAUGAAGUUAGCGGCGGACGGGUGAGUAACACGUGGGUAACCUGCCCAUAAGACUGGGAUAACUCCGGGAAACCGGGGCUAAUACCGGAUAACAUUUUGAACCGCAUGGUUCGAAAUUGAAAGGCGGCUUCGGCUGUCACUUAUGGAUGGACCCGCGUCGCAUUAGCUAGUUGGUGAGGUAACGGCUCACCAAGGCAACGAUGCGUAGCCGACCUGAGAGGGUGAUCGGCCACACUGGGACUGAGACACGGCCCAGACUCCUACGGGAGGCAGCAGUGAGGAAUUUUGGACAAUGGGGGCAACCCUGAUCCAGCGACGCCGCGUGGAGGACGAAGGUCUUCGGAUUGUAAACUCCUUUUAUCUGGGAUUAAGAAAUCUAUGGAAACAUAGAGAGUGGAUGUACCAGAGGAAUAAGCCACGGCUAACUUCGUGCCAGCAGCCGCAGUAA
rnacentral:rRNA from 1 species